AUGAUUGUGAUGAGCAAAAACCAGAUCCCUCACUGUUAAAACUCCAGGUUGAAUCCUUGGAACUCAAUCGAACUUUAAGCUUCAAGGAGUGGAUGAACAAACGUACAACCUCUCCAGCAAGCCCGGAUGGCGUUUCCUCGAAGAAGGUACGAUCAUCUGUCGCGCCUCAAACUCCAGCAGUUGCAGGAUGCCUUAGCAGAGAUAGCACGUCAGAAGGAGGAGAUGAGGCAGAAAGAAGAGCAGACCGAUGCUCGAUUUGAGGCUCAACAGCGUAUGUAGAUGAGGCAGAAAGAAGAGCAGACCCACUCCACCCAUCGGACCAUCAUCUUGAUUAUUAUGUUGUAUUUCUGUAUUUUGAAUACUUGACUAUUUAACACUUGACUAUUAUGUAUGACUAUAUGUAUGAUUUAGAAUUUUAAUAUUUUAUUGAUUUUGUAUUUUUGGUGA